GCAUAUCAAUAAGCGGAGGAAAAGAAACUAACAAGGAUUCCCCUAGUAACGGCGAGUGAAGCGGGAAGAGCUCAAAUUUGAAAUCUGGUAGCCUUCGGUUGCCCGAGUUGUAAUCUAGAGAAGUGUUUUCCGUGCCGGCCCAUGUACAAGUCCCUUGGAACAGGGCGUCAUAGAGGGUGAGAAUCCCGUCCUUGACAUGGACCCCCGGUGCUUUGUGAUACACUUUCAACGAGUCGAGUUGUUUGGGAAUGCAGCUCAAAAUGGGUGGUGAAUUCCAUCUAAAGCUAAAUAUUGGCGAGAGACCGAUAGCGAACAAGUACCGUGAGGGAAAGAUGAAAAGCACUUUGGAAAGAGAGUUAAACAGUACGUGUAAUUGUUGAAAGGGAAACGAUUGAAGUCAGUCAUGCUCUUAGGAUUCAGCCGUUCUGCGGUGUAUUUCCUUUGAGUGGGGUCAACAUCAGUUUUGAUCGAUGGAUAAAGGCACGAGGAAGGUAGCACUCUCGGGUGAACUUAUAGCCUCGCGUCAUAUACAUUGAUUGGGACUGAGGAACGCAGCAUGCCUUUAUGGCCGGGAUUCGUCCACGUACAUGCUUAGGAUGUUGACAUAAUGGCUUUAAACGACCCGUCUUGAAACACGGACC
rnacentral:rRNA from 1 species